CACUCAACACAUCGAGACGGGGAGGACAUCGACAUGUAUCUGGACGACGCCGUAAUCUUUGGUCUGGUCACCGUCGCGAUGAUGGUUGCAUUCAUGGGGGGCUGGGUCGCCUUCAUCGUGCGGGACCACCGCAAGAAGAAGCACUGAGCCAGCCGUUCCACCAGUCGUCAGGGGAGGGGGGAGUCACUCCCCCCAGUGGGCCGACCUUCACGGGUCGGCCCUUUUUUGU
rnacentral:sRNA from 1 species